GCUCAUCUGUGAAGCAAGGUCGAGCCCAGUGUUCAUCAGAGAAGGUCCGCUUAAUGGAAUUUCUCCUUGCCUAUGCUGUGAGGAUCAAACGGAAAUAAUUCAGAUCAGACCCUUAGGACUGGGCCUGGACACAGGAAACCUCAAUACAUAUAAGCUGUUGCAGUCUUUGCUAUUCCACCUCCAUAUCCAAUGGCCAAGCCCAGUUGGAUCUAAAACAGCUUGAAGGCUGUGGCCCAGCAGUGAGCAGUGCAGGCAACCUGUGCAGACCAGAGCCUCUGGCUCUUCAUCCACACAGGAAGAAGGGACCAGUUUAUAUCAAUCAGAGCAGUAGCCUGAGAAGGUGGACAUGAAACUCAAGCAUGGAUCUCUACGGAAGGCAGGCAGCCCUGGUGAGUGGGAGCCUUCUACUGAGUGGUGGAGUUUGCCCGUUGUGGGGUAGCCCACCAUUGCCUGGGCUAGGCUCUCUCUCCAGAAUCGCCCUUACCACCUGGACCUGAGCACUACUGCAGUGAGAUCUGACUCUGCACUUGGCUGUUUGGUACACUUCCGGGAGGUUUGUAGGGAUGAUUCACUACUCCCUGGCAAGUCUAGCUCCAGCCUCUCUGCAUGGGUGACAGUGAGAUUCCAUCACAAACUCCUUCUUCUAGUUCCUUGGGUCUUGCUUUUGCAUUUAGCAGAUUGAGGGUUGCCUUUAUUUUCUUUCAAAGGGGCCUCACUUCAUUUAAAGAAAGUAUCUAACAAAUAUUUUUUAGAUUUUUCUCGAUUGUGGUAGCAUCUUAAUUGAUUUUCUCAGAUAGUUACAGAUUUCCUCCUACUUUUAAAAAUUCCUUUGAAGGAGCAGGAAGGAGUUAAGCCCUUGUGCUCAAUUAUUAUCAUGAGUUGAAAAUUACAUUUUCCAGUUUAAUUCUUUUUUUCUCUCACUUAAAACCAAAAAGUUUUAAUUUUUACAUAAUACCUCCUUAUUGAAUCUGCCCAACUAAUCAAGGGGAAAAUGCAAUGAAAGCAAAUCACCUGGUAGAAAUAUCAGGCUAUCUUUAAGAGCUGUAAAGUAUUAUUUAACAUGUAAUUUGGAUACUCUCAGAAUAAUAGGCACUGUAUUCUUUGGGGUGUUUUGCUCUAUUCUUUUCUCCAUACUUUCUUUGUUCUCUCUCCUCUCUCCAUAGUCAGUUCAUAUUAGGAUACCUAGUGGGUGAUAUUAGGAAUAAAUAACUCAUUCAUUAAACACAAUUUGAGCCCCACCAUUUACAAAGCUUUCAGCAAAAGGUUAUAGGAAAUGUAAAGGGUAACCAGAUGCUGGCUAUAGCAAUUGCCAUCAUAAAGUUAUAAGCAAGCUUCAAGAGAAGAGCACAUGAAAAGAUGUUCAACAUGAUUAGUCAUUAGGGAAAUGCAAAUCAAGCCUACAAUGAGGUACAACUUCACACCCACUAGGACAGCUAGAACAAAAAAGGCAGGCAAUAACAAGUGUCUGUGAAGAUGUGGAGAAAUUGGAACCCUCCUAUUCUUUGAGAUGGUGAAAAUGUUCCAGAAUUACGGAGUGGUGAUGGUUGCCCAGUCAUGUCAAUAUACUGAAGACGACUGACUUGUACAAUUUGCAAGACACGUAUUUGACAUGUAUUAGUCAGAACUGGUUAAGUACUAUAACAAAUAAACCAAAUCUCAAAGGCCUUUAAAAUAACCCUAAAACUUCAAUAGGAAGUGGGGGAGGAAGAGCUCAAUUCUGACAAGGGGGACUUUGGAAAGCUUCUCAGAACGAAUGAGUUCUAAGCCAUACCACAGAGAACAAGUGAUAAUACAGUAGCCAUUUACUAAUAGCUAAGUGUGCCAAACACCAGGCCUUUAUUUCUAAUUCUCUGUAUACAUAGUAUGGUCACUCUGGUGCAGAUGAAGAACCUGAGGCUCAGUGGUCAAGAUGUCUUCCCCACAUGACAGAGCUGGUGAGUGGCAGAGAAUACUGGAAUCAGCUGAGAGGCCAGCUCUUGAUAUGUGUAGGGGUUUGAGUAGUCUACACAGAGGGACAUGUGCAAGGGCACAGGGGUAGAAAACAGCAGAAUAUGGAUGGGAAACAGCAAAUCAGCUGGGUAGCUGGGCCAUCAUCCAUCCAGUUAGCGAUUGGAACUGAGAAUCAGCCUGGAAAGGUAAGCAGAGGCCAAAUUAUGGAAGGUUUGGUGUCGUGAUGGAGAAGUUUAGAAUUCAUUCUGGACCAUCAAAGAGCUGGAGGUGGGGCUUCCCUGGUGGCGCAGUGGUUGCGCGUCCGCCUGCCGAUGCAGGGGAACCGGGUUCGCGCCCCGGUCCGGGAGGAUCCCACGUGCCGCGGAGCGGCUGGGCCCGUGAGCCAUGGCCGCUGAGCCUGCGCGUCCGGAGCCUGUGCUCCGCAACGGGAGAGGCCGCAGCAGAGGGAGGCCCGCGUACCACAAAAAAAAAAAAAAAAAAAAAAAAAAGAAAAAGAGCUGGAGGCAUGUAAGCUAAAUGGAUCUGUGCCUUAGAGAAGGGGCUCUGACAGCAACAAGGAUGGUGUUCAACCAGAGAGUCUGAAGCCAAGGUGACUGACUUAAGAGUCCAGCAGAGAGGGACUGAGGCUUGGACUGGGGUUGCAGAACUAAGCAAGGAGGACAGGAGGAAAAGAAUAAAGCCACCAUUUCAAACUGGUGAAAGCAUUUUAAAUGUUCAUGCUAAUGCUUACCUUACAUCGACACUGAGCAUUCUGAAUAAGGCACAGCUGUUCAUCGACAGAGUUAUUUUGGACCAAGGACUGAUUUAAUUAAACUGAGGGCUGAAGCAUAGAAAUGUCAUCAUGUCUCAAGCCUUCUAGCCACCUUUGCGCUGUAAUCGCCUACCUCUGUCAAUAGUCUUCUGGCUAGAAGAACCCACAGGAAGCUUCUGAUUAGCCAGCAGUGUCACGGUCUGACAAGGUUAUGCCUUUUUUCUUGUUCUGGCCCCUCGCAAGUGAUAAAGACCACUCUGGAGAAGACGGAAAGUGUACUGAGGCUACCUAUCAUCCAGCAGAUUCCAGAAGAUAAAAUUGUUCUUUUCUGUGCCCAGUGGCCACCGUCAAUGUGGUUGGUGUAGUCUAAGUACCAGGUCUAAGAGCAAACCCCAGCUCUGUCAUUUAUUACUUGGGGUAAGCUUGGUGUUGGCCGUAUUACUUAACCUUGCUGUUCCUCAGAUCUCGCCUCUAGAAAAUGGAGAUAUUCCUAAUAACAAUUCCUUUAUAGCAUUGCAGGGAGGCUUAAAUCAGUUAAAACAUGUGGGGGAGAUUAGAAAACUGCUUGAUAUACACUAACACCCAAAAACCACUUGAAACCCUUGUUUUGGAAUUUUUCAGUUCCUUCCUUUCCUUUAAGAAUAUGAUCUGAAAGAGUAGGUUGUUUAUAUCUCAAUGAGAGCAAUAUUUUCCAUUAACUUGUAAAAACUUUAAUUCUCCAAUUAUA